CAGCACAGCUGUGUCUGCUGAACAGUUCGACUACAAAGGACUGUCCACAUCAACCUUCACACACAACGCACGCGCAGCGGCAGAGACGUCAGCGAAGCUGGCGAAGCCAUCCGACAUUCACAGAAAGCUUCGGCGUCCUGCUUUCCCGCGCAACGCCCACCUCCACUACCACUACCACCACCGCCAUCCCCUCCUCUUCCCUUAUCACGACGAAAGCGGAAGCCGUCUUCAGCGCAUGUCACUCCAGUUCACAGUGAGUGGCCCGAACAUUCGCGUGCUCCUGAGUGUUCUCACAUGCGUCAGUCGUCUCGGCGAUGCCGUGUACAUUGUGGGGCUGAGCGACGGCAUCGAGAUCAGCGCUGUGUCGCCAAGCCGCAACGGGCACAUCGCGGUGCGGGUGCACGAGCGCUGCUUUGACCGCUUCCUACUGGAGCUCCCGUCCCGCCGAAGCGGCGCUGAUGAUGGUAGCGGCCUCGCGACCUCGCAUGCAGCCGCGGAGGGUAGGGCAGACGAUGCCAGCGCUGAUGGCCCCAAGCCCUACUUGUGUCUGCUCACCAAGACGCUCGUCGCGACAGUGCUGCGGCAGCACAACACCAACGUGCAAAGCCUUGACUUUCAGUACCGCACCGCGAAGUCCUCCGACAGCGCGGCGGCGGCGGCGGCGGCGGCGAGCGACGCGGGGAACUACAGCUCUGACGCCGACCAUUGCCUUUGGAAGGGUCGCACGGACGCGGAUGUGGUGCGGUGGCACUGCACUUAUGGGCGCAGUCUCACAAAGACGUUUCUUCUCCGUCUCGCAGAGGGGGAACCGACCAGUGUCUACGCGGAUCUGUCGCGUUACCGCUUCGAGGUGUGUGGCGACGCCCGCGCGUACGGCAGUCUUCUCGCCUCGCUUCCAUCCAGCGCGAAUCAGUGUGCGUUGACGCUGCCAGAGAGCGGUGGGCUGGAGCUGCGCUCGGUGCGGCAGUCGGGGUCGUCGUCAUCGUCCUCGUCGGCAGCAGCAGCAGCAGCAAGCGGCCGCGAGAGCGGCUCAGCCGCGGCACCGUCGGGCAGCAUCAGGGCAGCAGACGGCAGCUCCACAGUGGUGACGGCGUUCGAGAGUACCUUCACCCUCUUUCGCUUCUUCGAGCGCGCCGCCUCACCAUCGGCGACAGACGCGGACGGUGCAGCAGCGGUGACGGAGUCCGGCCCUUCGGAGGUGCCGCAAGCACCGUUUCCUAAUACGCCGCCGCCGCCGCCGCAGCAGCAGCAGCAGCUGAGCCCUCGACGCAAUUCCGUGCUAUCUGCGCCGGAUCAUGCAUCAUCGGCCACCGUAACAGCCGACUUCAUUCCGCUUCCUGGCAAAACAUUCGAUGUGAAGCCCUUCAAGAACGCGGCGUGGCUUGCAGAGCAGCUCGGCGUCCAGCUGCACCUCCUCACGGGCGAGGAAAGUGUGCCGAUCAUCAUCGCGAGCAUCACGCCGGAGGAGGUGCAGAAAAGGCGCAUCACCGCCUCGGCCGACGCCGCGAGGCACGAGAGCCUACCCGGCACGGGUGGUGCAGCAGCCCGUCCGUUCUUGGUGACGAACAGCGCGCCCUCUGUCCCUGCCUCGGCCUUCGUCUCGUUCAUCCUGUACGUGGCAGCGCUGGACUCGGCGCCAAGCGGCGGCAGAGCCUCUGGCUCCGGCGGCGCGCCUGGCGGAGCCGCAGACACGAGCAUCGCAACCGCCAUCAGCUCCGCUGUCAACACGCCCCGCCCCAGCACGCACCACCGGGCGUUGAAGGGCGACGGUGGCGCUCUAGCGGCGGUGGCGGCGACGCCGAUACCAGGCCACGGCGAUGGGGAGAACGGGGAGCGCGACGGUAUGCCCGUGAGCAGCGGGAACAGCACCACGAGCGGCACCCUGUCUCACGUGGAGGCCAGCUUUGUGAGCACCAGUGCGGCCACCGCAGCUGCAGGGAUGGUGGGGCGCCUGUCCCGCGAGAGUAACAGCACCGUCGACUCUGCGUACGCGACCCCGCGACGGACUGCGUCCCCGUCGGAGUUGGUGAUGGUCAUGACCGGUGGCGACACUCCGGGCACCUGUAGCGGUGAUGCCGGCGGUGUUCACGCGGCCCGCAAAAGCGUUGACUUCCUAACGGGCGUCACGGCGUCGUCGCUGCCGGGGAACCCCACUGUAGCCAUGACAGGUGCCGCGCUGCCUUCCGCGUCACUGCCGCUCUCGCACACCCCCACAGCCACUGCUCUCAGUUCCAUGUACCCGCUCGACUUCGAAGCGUUUGUGCGCACCUACACCUCCGCCAACGAGGCGGACGAUGAGGCGGGAGAGGAAGACGCGCAGGAUGCUGAGCUGCGCGAGUUCCUUGCCAGCUGUGUCGCCUCCAUGUCGCGAGGGCCGACGCAGAACUGAACCGGCGAUGAUGAUGAGUACAGUGCGAGUGGGUGGGGAGUAAACAGGCAAAUGGUGGUGGUGCCGCGGGCAGGGAGUGCGUGGCGGCGGGCAGUGUCGCUACUCCCUCUCUCCGCCCCUCCCCCCCCUCCGUCGUCUCUGCUCGCGUGACACUGUACGCGUGCACUUGGAUGGCUCGCACGCGCAUGCAGAC
rnacentral:misc_RNA from 1 species